UAGUCAGGUUUUGAUUUAACCUCAACAGUGAAAGAGUAGAGUAGAAAAGCCUGCUCCUGCUCCUGCUCCUGUGAAGGAAUCGAAGGAAGCAAUGGUAGAGAAGACGGUAGAUAAGAGUGUUGAAGAAGAAGAAGGUGACCAAAUAGUCAAUCCAUGGGAAGUUUCCGCAAAAGACGGAACCAAAAUCGAUUACGACAAACUAAUCGACAAAUUCGGCUGCCAAAGACUCGACCAAACCCUAAUCGACCGCGUCCAUACCCUAACCGGCCGUCCUCCUCAUGUCUUCCUCCGCCGCGGCGUCUUCUUCGCCCACCGCGAUUUCAACGAAAUCCUUGACGCUUUCGAGAGAGGACACAAAUUCUACCUCUACACUGGCCGCGGUCCUUCCUCCGAAUCACUGCAUUUAGGUCAUCUCAUUCCCUUUAUGUUUACUAAGUAUUUGCAGGAGGCUUUUAGAGUUCCGCUUGUAAUCCAGCUAACCGAUGAUGAGAAGAGCAUGUGGAAAAACCUUUCCAUUGAGGAGAGCAAACGAUUAGCCAGAGAAAAUGCUAGAGAUAUUAUUGCUUGUGGUUUUGAUGUUACUCGAACUUUCAUUUUCCAAGAUUUUAACUAUGUUGCCGGUUCAUUUUACGAGAACAUGGUGAAGGUUCAGAAGUGUGUUACAUAUAAUAAGGUUGUCGGUAUAUUUGGUUUCACCGGCGAAGAUCAUAUUGGAAAAGUUAGCUUCCCAGCCGUACAGGCCGUUCCAUCUUUUCCUAGUUCGUUUCCACACUUAUUCUCUGGGAAAGAUGACCUUCGUUGCUUAGUACCGUGUGCAAUUGACCAGGAUCCAUAUUUCAGAAUGACUCGAGAUGUUGCUCCUCGGAUAGGAUAUCACAAGCCUGCAUUGAUUGAAUCAUUAUUCUUCCCUGCACUACAGGGGGAGACCAAGAAAAUGUCAGCAAGUGAUGCAAAUUCAGCUGUAUAUGUGACUGAUUCAGCAAAGGAAAUCAAGAACAAGAUAAACAAGUAUGCAUUCUCUGGCGGGCAAGAUUCUUUAGAGAAACAAAGACAAUUUGGAGCGAAUAUCGAGGUAGAUAUAUCGAUCAAAUAUUUAAAUUUUUUCCUAGAGGAUGACGAUGAGCUUGAACACAUUAAAAAGGAGUAUGCUGCGGGACGCAUGCUAACAGGAGAGGUGAAAAAUCGCCUUGCUGAGGUUUUGACUGAAAUUGUUAAAAGACAUAAUUUGGCUCGGUCUGCUGUGACUGAUGAAAUGGUGGAUGCUUUUAUGGCCGUCCGGCCUCUUCCCAGUAUGUUCCAUUAAGGUUAAAGUGGAUAAGUGUAAGCUUUUAGAUGUAAGGCUUCAAUGUUGCGUUUUUCGAUUUAAGGCUCGAAUAUUGCUUCAAAAUUUUGGUAGCCGCAACGCUCACUAUUCCUCAUUGUAUGGACUGAAGUCGGUCAUCUUGCUGCUGGUCCGUUUUUGUGGUUUUCCAGUAGAGGCAUGGGUUUGAAAAACUCAUGAAAUUUCCUUGAGAAAAAAAAACACUGGCACAUUUGGAUUGGUAGAUUUUAGUCAAAAUUUGUGGAUUUAAUCGAAAUACAUUUUUAUUAGAAAAAACAUAUCUUAACAAUUGAUAUAUUUUGAAAAUAUUCCAUCUUCCAAUAUUAUCAUCUGAAAUUUCACCCUCUAA